rnacentral:rRNA from 3 species
AAACGACUCUCGGCAACGGAUAUCUCGGCUCACGCAUCGAUGAAGAACGUAGCAAAAUGCGAUACUUGGUGUGAAUUGCAGAAUCCCGUGAACCAUCGAGUUUUUGAACGCAAGUUGCGCCCGAAGCCAUCCGGUUUAGGGCACGCCUGCCUGGGCGUCACGC